ACUUGAACAGAAUGUCCUGCUCUGUGUCCAGCUGGCUCUUUCCUCACAGGGGUGUUUUGCUGGUGGACCGGCCAGUCCCAGCUGCGGUCAGACUGGUGGACAAGCUCCGUAGAUGCCCAGGUUUGUGUUGUGCUUGAUCCUCCUGUCUUUCAGCAGCGGCUGUAAGUCCACCAGUGGGCAGUGGAUCGGUGAGGAUUGUGUGUGGGUCUGUGUGCCUGGGCUCACGUGUUCAUCUGUGGACGGGUGUUUCAGAAUGUCCCGCCGGUGUGAACGAGUGGGUGUUUUUCUCUGGGUGCCCCUGCGAGACAUCGACCUGAAGCCACGCCGGACGUGUGCGCCUCCGUCGCUUCUCCAGACGCUCAGGAGCUCUUCAGGAAGAGAGCCGGCAGAGGUCUGAAGUGGAUCUCCUGGACUCCCCCCUGACCGGUCUGCUGCCAGUCCUGGCCUGGACUCUGGGAUUCGCUGUGGGAGGACUGCACUACCGUAGAAAACCACCAGGUGGCGCAGUGAAGCAUCUGGGCUGCACCUGGGAACACCUGGUUUCUCAUCCCGUGACGACUCUACGAGUGGGAGCAGUGACGCUGCGUCUUGGGCUGAAGUCGGGUUUGUCAGUGUUGUCAGCAGAGAUCCGGAGCUCAUCGCAGACACCCUUGUCUCCGGACUCGGGGAGAAGCGAUUCGGCUGGCAUCUCCUGCCCUCGCCGUCAGCUUCUCCUGCUUCCUCCUGCUUGCCAGCGUCACUGUGCAGAGUUAAAGUUUCGAAGAGGGUAGAGAGGAGGAGAGGGGGUAGCUGAUGGGUUUCGAGAUGUGGUCUUACGUGAUGCCGGCACCUGGUGUUCGAAGUAGGAGCUGCAUUUUUUACUUACUAUCGGGCUGAAUCUGAUUAUAGUUCUGAAUGAACUCGUGGGCCGUUUCAGUAACAGUGGCUGCAGUUUGGAUACCCCUGAUCUAGAGAGAGACAGUUUGAUUUAUAUUUUUUAUCAUGAUGUAUUUCACUCAUACUGCACUGAUAUGGCUUUCAAACCCUACGCUAUUUCGCUGAGACUGACUCGACCAGCAGCGCACAUGUGUGCGACUCACAAUAUUGGGCGAUACACAGCAGAACCCCAGUUCUAUUCGCCGUUGUAUUAACUUACAAAAGAUACCAGUUUCAAAAGAAAUCUGAAAUCUUGUUUUAAAAUAACGAGGACUCAUAAACCCUACGGUAUUUCACACCUGCGUAUCAGAUCAUGUUUUUAUGUUACGGAGGGUGUAAUGUAGAUGGGACAUUUGUGCCCAUUUAAAUGUACAAUUACUAUUGGUUGAAUUUAACUGAUUGGGGAAAAAAUAAAACCAUGAAUGUGGCAUGUGCAAGAGUUUGGGCACCCUUCGAGUUGAUGAAUAUUUUUAUUUUUAAGUCUUCAGAAACCUGAUUGACUUCUUAUCCCCUAAAUUAAGCCAGGUGAAGAUAAUUCAAGAGUUGAAUAAAUACUCUCUGGACGUGGUGCCGACUCGAAGCAGCUGACAGAGGACUGGAAAAUGAAGAUCAUGGACUCCUACAGAGCAAAAGGUGGCUGUGAAGAGGUAUCUAAAUACUUCCGGUUUGGGAUGUCCACUGUCGGGAACAUCGUUCAGAACUGGGAGUUAAGAGGAACUGUUGGAAGUCAAGGAAGACCCAGGAGCAUCUCUGAUAGAACUGCUGGUAAACUGGUCAGAUCCCACAGAUCACAGCACAGCGCCUGCAGAGGGGUUCAGCUGAGACUGGAGUAGUGGUCCACAGGUCCCCAGUACAGCGCUGCUCACCGCGUGGGAGAGCUGUCAGCAGGAAACCUUCCCUACGACCUCCUCACAGUGCAGAGCCAUACUUAGACGAGCCAGAAACCCUUUGGAACAGAGUGCUGUGGGCUGAUGAAACAAAAAUUGAUCUUUUUGGCCACAACCAGAAAAGAUUCACUUGGAGGAAAACAGGUGAGGCAUCUGAAGAAUAGAGCAGCUUGCCAAGCGUUCAGCAUGGUGGUGGAUCUGUUGUGCUCUGGGGUGGUGUGGCAGCCAGUGGCGCAGGGAAUACUGUUCGGGAGGAAGGAAGAAAGGAUUCAACUCCAUCCCAGCAAAUCCUGGAAGCUGAUGUCCCAGAGUCAGAGAAGGAAUUGAGGCUGAGAAGAGUUUGGAUGUUUUAGCAAGACCGCGAUCCAAAACAUACCUCAAAACCAACCAUGACGUUCUCACAGGAACGACAGAUGAGGGUGGUGGAGUGGCCCUCACAGUCCCCAGACCCGAAUGUUAUUGAAAAUCUGUGGGGAGGUCUCCAACACGCCGUGCCUGCAAGAAGACCUGAGGCUAUUUCUGAGCUGGAAGAGUGGGGAGAAAACUCCUUGAGCAAGAACAGAAAGACUCCUAGAUGGCUAAGAGAAAUGUUUGUAAACUGGAAGAGGUGCUACAAAGUACUGACUGACCGGGUGCCCACACUACUAUGCCACAUUUACCAUUUUGUUUAAAUAAACAGUAGGCGUGCCUUAAAACGUGCAGGAAUACGUCAGGUGUACGUCUGUACCCUGCAGGGGGUUGUGUUGACGUCUUUUCACUUCGAGCUGCUGUGGUCCCUGCACUUGGAUCCCAGGGGUGCCCAGACUUGUACCAGCAGCUGUGUGAUAAAUCGGCUGCUUCGUGACUUCAUCACCUCUCGGGAGCGCUUAACCUCAGGGCUGCAGGAUCACCGCGUAUCUGCGGCACGUGUAGUUUCCAGUUGUACCUUACCUCCCAGUUACCCAUGCCCAACGUGCCACAGGCAGAUCGCAUGAAGUCCCUUCCACAGAUGUGCCGAAACCACAGCGCAGGGUUUUAAAGCCACUGCAGUCCAGUGCGUGUGAAAUCGGUUUCUUAAGAGAAAAUACGGACUGUUUUAACGUGGUAUAUAGAGUAUAUAGAGACCGUGAUGAGCCCUAAUAAUAAACUGUUUGUAUGGGAA